CUGUUAUAGACGGCGUGUAAUUUUCAUUAACCAUGAGGUUUUCAUAUAUUUAUUUAGUAUAACUCAACAGUUUUUACAGAAUAACUCUGUUUCUCAAAAACGUUUUGUGUUCGUUCUGUCCUCUGACCUCUCUAUUUUCAAUGUUACUGGACAAAAGUCUAUUACCAUAAUAAAUUAACAUGAACUAUAUAAUAAACUGGACAAAGUCCAAAACACCCCCGCCCGUGACGUGAACGGGGGGAACGUUACUCAUCAUUAAAAGCUUCCAGUAAUGCUAACCGUCCUACAGGACGUGUCAAUGUUCCAGUUUUCGUUGCAAUCUCCGCGGAUCUGAUCAGUCCGUCUUCACUUGCGAUCGGUGCAAUCACUCUUCCGAGCCUCCAAUGCGAACGAGGUACGUCCUUCUCAACGAUCAAGACAAGAUCACCGCGACGUAAAUUUCUGUGUGCAACAUUCCAUUUGCUUCGCUUUAUUAACUGCGGAAUGUACUCAUUCGACCAUCGGCGCCAGAAUUGGUUCGCUAAGAACUGGCUAUGACGCCAUCUUCGACGUAACGACAUAUCUCGUUGGUUAAACUCGCCGGGCGACACGUUCGAACUCGCACGACCAUGCAAGAAGUGGUUUGGUGUAAUCACGCUGAGAUCUGUUGGUGAAUCACUGCUUCCACCAUAGACAAGCGGACGAGAGUUCAGCAUCGCUUCUACCUCGGCAAUGACAGUAAGGAAAACUUCAUCGACUGUGAGAACAUUCCCAAGCAUAACUUUCAAUGCCCGUUUGACAGACUUUACUAACGCUUCCCAGGCACCUCCAAACCAUGGGGCAGCAGGUGGGUUAAAGAUCCAACGUACUCCACGUGCUGUUAACUCAUUCGAGAUUUUCUCUUGAUCCAGAUCUUCCAAAGCUUCGCGCAACUCUCUUUCGGCACCUACGAAAUUUGUCCCAUUAUCACUCAUUAUACAAACAGGGACUCCUCUACUAGCUUGAAAUCGUCGCAACGCCAUUAUACACGAGUCAGUGUCCAAACUAUGUGCGACCUUGAGAUGAACCGCGCGCAUAUGGAGACACGUAAAUAAGCAAAUAUAGCGUUUUUCCUUUCGAUUGCGUCCAAUUCGAGUCUCAAACGGUCCGGCAUAAUCAAUCCCAACGUGUCGAAAAGGAACACUUGCGCCUGCGAGACGUACAUUCGGU